GACGAACGCUGGCGGCGUGCUUAACACAUGCAAGUCGAGCGGAAAGGCGCUGCUUUUGUGGGGUGCUCGAUUGGCGAACGCGUGAGUAACACGUGAGUAACCUGCCCUUGACUUUGGGAUAACUUCUGGAAACUGCGGCUAAUACCGGAUAGAAUCUCCUGCUGCAUGUUGUGGGUUGGUAAAUUUCGGCCGUUGGGGCUGUACUCGCUGGUUAUCCGCUUGUUGGUGGGGUAGUGACUUACCAAGGUUGUGACGGGUAACCGGCAUGAGAGGGUGACCGGCCACAUUGGGCCUGAGAGACGGCCCAGAAUCCUACGGGAGGCAGCAGUGGGGAAUAUUGCACAAUGGGCGGAAGCCUGAGGCAGCAACGCUGCGUGCGGGAUAACGGCCUUCGAGUGGUAAACCGCUUUCGCCUGUGCCGAAGCGUGAGUGACGGUAAUUGGUAAAGAAGCACCGGCUAACUACGUG
rnacentral:rRNA from 1 species